GCCUGGCUGGCUCAGUCGGAAGAGCGUGGGACUCUUGAUCCUGGUGUCAUGAGUUUGAGCCCUAUGUUGGGUG
rnacentral:tRNA from 1 species